CACGUAGUUAGCCGGGGCUUCUUCUUCAGGUACCGUCAUCGUCGUUCCUGCUGACAGAGCUUUACGCGCCGAGGCGCUUCUUCACUCACGCGGCGUCGCUGCAUCAGGGUUUCCCCCAUUGUGCAAUAUUCCCCACUGCUGCCUCCCGUAGGAGUUUGGGCCGUGUCUCAGUCCCAAUGUGGCCGUCCACCCUCUCAGGCCGGCUACCGAUCGUCGCUUUGGUGGGCCGUUACCCCGCCAACUGGCUAAUCGGACGCGGGCUCAUCCCGUACCACCGGAGUUUUCAAGGCCGGGGCAUGCGCCCCCGCCUGUCAUGCGGUGUUAGCACCUGUUUCCAGGUGUUAUCCCCCGGUACGGGGCAGAUUGCCCACGCGUUACUCACCCGUCCGCCACUAGGCCGCGUCCGGUUCGGGUCAGGCAAGCCUUCCCCUCCCCUUACGCGGCCCCGUUCGACUUGCAUGUGUUAGGCACGCCGCCAGCGUUCAUCCUGAGCCAGGAUCAAACUCU
rnacentral:rRNA from 1 species